GAUGAACGCUGGCGGCGUGCCUAAUACAUGCAAGUCGAGCGAACGGACGAGAAGCUUGCUUCUCUGUUGUUAGCGGCGGACGGGUGAGUAACACGUGGAUAACCUACCUCUAAGACUGGGAUAACUUCGGGAAACCGGAGCUAAUACCGGAUAAUAUUUUGAACCGCAUGGUUCAAAAGUGAAAGACGGUCUUGCUGUCACUUAUAGAUGGACCCGCGCUGCAUUAGCUAGUUGGUAAGGUAACGGCUUACCAAGGCAACGAUGCAUAGCCGACCUGAGAGGGUGAUCGGCCACACUGGAACUGAGACACGGUCCAGACUCCUACGGGAGGCAGCAGUAGGGAAUCUUCCGCAAUGGGCGAAAGCCUGACGGAGCAACGCCGCGUGAGUGAUGAAGGUCUUCGGAUCGUAAAACUCUGUUAUUAGGGAAGAACAUAUGUGUAAGUAACUGUGCACAUCUUGACGGUACCUAAUCAGAAAGCCACGGCUAACUACGUG
rnacentral:rRNA from 1 species